GUAUAAAAAACCCAGGGUUUCUCCUCCAGUCAUUUAUCUUGAGAAAAGCGUGAGGCAGGAAAGCUACUUUACGCGCAAUUGUUGCUGGGAAGAUCCUGUUGACAAGAUGACUAAAUUUGUGAUGGUUUACAUUGGAUUUCUUCUCCUUGCCAUGCAUUUUUCAUCACAGGUCCACGCGCAAAAUGCUACAACACAGUCCCCUGCCAUGAAUGCUACGACCAGAGCUGGCGGUGCGAGUUCCAACAUGACAAAGAUGCCCGAUGUCACCAAGAACAACACCAUUCCCAAAGGAGCCAGUGCAUCCUUGCAGUCCAGCUCGGUUGCGCUCAUCAUACCCAUGAUGGUGGGGGGCUCACUACAGGGGCGCUUCUAGAGGGCUGUUGUGCAGUGAACUGACACCGGCAAGACUGAACCUCAGCGGCUAAGAUGGGGCGAACUUUUUUACUAAGAGCACAUUUUGUAUAUACUUUUCAAAAAGGCAGUCAUGUGCGCACCUAACCGAAGAGAUUCGAUGGAGUUCAGUGCUGGACGAGAACCCACUUCAAACCAGUAGGCCUUCACACCUCGCACACUGGCCCCAUGCCCAUAGACCGAACGGUACGGUCCUCUCCAUUGAGGCAGUCCAUGAUGAGGAUGCACUCUGCUCUUCAAACCGUUUGGUCCCGACGUUCCUGUGUAGACACCAGGCGGUAGUUUAGUCAUUUGUUAAGAAUUUAACAUAUCUAAAGAAAUGUUGGUUGAGGUACUUUGAAAAUAAGGUAUAAAUGAAUCUGUGGCACAUGCACAGACAGUGGCAUUUCUGCACCUGCAGUGAGUACUUUGUCAGAGGUUUGAUGUACACUUGUGAUUUAUUUAUAGAAUAUAGAAUUGUAUGGGUUAGCAUGUGAGAUUUAAUUGUUUAAAUCAUGAUGUGAUCUGCUUAGAUUUGUUUUUAAGGCCAGGUUCAAUUAAACUUUAAAAUGUAGCAUACUUGUGACAAUUUUCUUGUAUAAUAAAAAUACUUUAACAUGUU